rnacentral:rRNA from 1 species
AUUGAACGCUGGCGGCAGGCCUAACACAUGCAAGUCGAGCGGCAGCGGGAAAGUAGCUUGCUACUUUUGCCGGCGAGCGGCGGACGGGUGAGUAAUGCCUGGGAAAUUGCCCAGUCGAGGGGGAUAACAGUUGGAAACGACUGCUAAUACCGCAUACGCCCUACGGGGGAAAGCAGGGGACCUUCGGGCCUUGCGCGAUUGGAUAUGCCCAGGUGGGAUUAGCUAGUUGGUGAGGUAAUGGCUCACCAAGGCGACGAUCCCUAGCUGGUCUGGGAGGAUGAUCAGCCACACUGGAACUGAGACACGGUCCAGACUCCUACGGGAGGCAGCAGUGGGGAAUAUUGCACAAUGGGGGAAACCCUGAUGCAGCCAUGCCGCGUGUGUGAAGAAGGCCUUCGGGUUGUAAAGCACUUUCAGCGAGGAGGAAAGGUUGUUGGCUAAUAUCCAGCAGCUGUGACGUUACUCGCAGAAGAAGCACCGGCUAACUCCGUGCCAGCCGCCGCGGUAAUAC